rnacentral:rRNA from 1 species
UACGUAGGGUGCAAGCGUUAAUCGGAAUUACUGGGCGUAAAGCGUGCGCAGGCGGUUUUGUAAGCCAGAUGUGAAAUCCCCGGGCUUAACCUGGGAAUGGCAUUUGGGACUGCAAGGCUUGAGUGCGGCAGAGGAGACUGGAAUUCCUGGUGUAGCAGUGAAAUGCGUAGAUAUCAGGAGGAACACCGGUGGCGAAGGCGGGUCUCUGGGCCGUAACUGACGCUGAGGAGCGAAAGCGUGGGGAGCGAACAGG